rnacentral:rRNA from 1 species
GACGAACGCUGGCGGCGUGCUUAACACAUGCAAGUCGAACGGAAAGGCCCUGCUUGCAGGGUACUCGAGUGGCGAACGGGUGAGUAACACGUGGGUGAUCUGCCCUGCACUUCGGGAUAAGCUUGGGAAACUGGGUCUAAUACCGGAUAGGAGCCAUCUUUAGUGUGGUGGUUGGAAAGUUUUUUCGGUGUAGGAUGAGCUCGCGGCCUAUCAGCUUGUUGGUGGGGUAAUGGCCUACCAAGGCGGCGACGGGUAGCCGGCCUGAGAGGGUGUACGGCCACAUUGGGACUGAGAUACGGCCCAGACUCCUACGGGAGGCAGCAGUGGGGAAUAUUGCACAAUGGGCGCAAGCCUGAGGCAGCGACGCCGCGUGGGGGAUGAAGGCCUUCGGGUUGUAAACUCCUUUCGCUAGGGACGAAGCUUUUUUGUGACGGUACCUAGAUAAGAAGCACCGGCUAACUACGUG